GACGAACGCUGGCGGCGUGCUUAACACAUGCAAGUCGAACGGGAAGGCCCUGCUUUUGUGGGGUGCUCGAGUGGCGAAAGGGUGAGUAACACGUGAGUAACCUGCCCUUGACUUUGGGGUAACUUCAGGAAACUGGGGCUAAUACCGGAUAGGAGCUCCUGCUGCAUGGUGGGGGUUGGAAAGGUUCGGCGGUUGGGGAUGGACUCGCGGCUUAUCAGCUUGUUGGUGGGGUAGUGGCUUACCAAGGCUUUGACGGGUAGCCGGCCUGAGAGGGUGACCGGCCACAUUGGGACUGAGAUACGGCCCAGACUCCUACGGGAGGCAGCAGUGGGGAAUAUUGCACAAUGGGCGGAAGCCUGAUGCAGCAACGCCGCGUGCGGGAUGACGGCCUUCGGGUUGUAAACCGCUUUCGCCUGUGACGAAGCGUGAGUGACGGUAAUGGGUAAAGAAGCACCGGCUAACUACGUG
rnacentral:rRNA from 1 species